rnacentral:rRNA from 1 species
CAGCAAAGACAGAAGAAUUGGCUGGGAAGCCAAGCGACACAGGGUGAUAGCCCCGUAUUCGAAGUUUUUGUUGUGGUACUAAGCUUGCAACAAGUAGGGCGGGACACGAGAAAUCCUGUUUGAAGAUGGGGGGACCAUCCUCCAAGGCUAAAUACUCCUGAUUGACCGAUAGUGAACCAGUACUGUGAAGGAAAGGCGAAAAGAACCCCAGUGAGGGGAGUGAAAUAGAACCUGAAACCGUGUACGUACAAGCAGUGGGAGCCCUUUGGGGUGACUGCGUACCUUUUGUAUAAUGGGUCAGCGACUUAUAUUUUGUAGCGAGGUUAACUGAAUAAGGGAGCCGAAGGGAAACCGAGUCUUAACUGGGCGGAUAGUUGCAAGGUAUAGACCCGAAACCCGGUGAUCUAGCCAUGGGCAGGUUGAAGGUUGGGUAACACUAACUGGAGGACCGAACCGACUAAUGUUGAAAAAUUAGCGGAUGACUUGUGGCUGGGGGUGAAAGGCCAAUCAAACCGGGAGAUAGCUGGUUCUCCCCGAAAUCUAUUUAGGUAGAGCCUUAUGUGAAUACCUUCGGGGGUAGAGCACUGUUUCGGCUAGGGGUCCAUCCCGGAUUACCAACCCGAUGCAAACUGCGAAUACCGAAGAGUAAUGCAUAGGAGACACACGGUGGGUGCUAACGUCCAUCGUGGAGAGGGAAACAACCCAGACCGCCAGCUAAGGUCCCAAAGUCUAUAUUAAGUGGGAAACGAAGUGGGAAGGCUUAGACAGCUAGGAUGUUGGCUUAGAAGCAGCCA